rnacentral:lncRNA from 1 species
CCAUGACUCAGUCCAGCUGGGACCCUGCCCCGUAAACACCUACAGAGGACAGUAACUCCUUCUUGCUUAAAAAGAAGUUUCUUCCUGUCUUCAGACCCUUAGAAAGCCCAUUAGGAACUAAGGAGAAGAAAGUCACCUAGAAAAACAAUGCUUAAACCUACAACUAUUAUUCUAAUAUGAAAGAUAUUAAAGGAGCUGUACAAUUUCUACUGGAGGACAGCCACAACUGCUAAAAAGGAAACGGAUUCUAAAGAGAAAAUUGAGAUUUCUCUGUUGUAACUAAGCAGAGUAAUAUAAAAUAAAGUAUAGAGGAG